rnacentral:rRNA from 1 species
UCGGGAAUUUUGGGCAAUGGGGGAAACCCUGACCCAGCAACGCCGCGUGAAGGAUGAAGUAUUUCGGUAUGUAAACUUCGAAAGAAUAGGAAGAAUAAAUGACGGUACUAUUUAUAAGGUCCGGCUAACUACGUGCCAGCAGCCGCGGUAAUACGUAGGGACCAAGCGUUGUUCGGAUUUACUGGGCGUAAAGGGCGCGUAGGCGGCAUGACAAGUCACUUGUGAAAUCUCUGGGCUUAACCCAGAACGGCCAAGUGAUACUGUCGCGCUAGAGUGCAGAAGGGGCAAUCGGAAUUCUUGGUGUAGCGGUGAAAUGCGUAGAUAUCAAGAGGAACACCUGAGGUGAAGACGGGUUGCUGGGCUGACACUGACGCUGAGGCGCGAAAGCCAGGGGAGCAAACAGGAUUAGAUACCCGGGUAGUCCCUGAG